rnacentral:rRNA from 1 species
CCGGAGUGGUCGGGAGACCCGUGCGGCGUUGUUGGCGACCGCGGACCCGUCGGAGGCCGGCGGCUGGCGGCGAGUAGGUCGGUCACCCACCCGACCCGUCUUGAAACACGGACCAAGGAGUCUAACAUGUGCGCGAGUCAAUGGGUCUUGAACAGGCCCAGGGGCGCAAUGAAAGCAAAGGCCGUCACCAGGCGGCCGAGUUGGGAUCCUCCUCCCCCGCGGGGGGGCGCACCAACGACCCGUCCUAUCCGGCUCGCCGGUUGGGCGGAGUGUGAGCGUACACGUUGGGACCCGAAAGAUGGUGAACUAUGCCCGGACAGGACGAGGCCAGAGGAAACUCUGGUGGAGGUCCGCAG